CCUACGGGUGGCAGCAGUGGGGAAUGUUGGACAAUGGGGGCAACCCUGAUCCAGCCAUGCCGCGUGUGUGAAGAAGGCCCUCGGGUUGUAAAGCACUUUCAGUGAGGAAGAACGCCUGGUGGUUAAUACCCAUCAGGAAAGACAUCACUCACAGAAGAAGCACCGGCUAACUCCGUGCCAGCAGCCGCGGUAAUACGGAGGGUGCGAGCGUUAAUCGGAAUUACUGGGCGUAAAGCGCGCGUAGGUGGCUUGAUAAGCCGGUUGUGAAAGCCCCGGGCUCAACCUGGGAACGGCAUCCGGAACUGUCAAGCUAGAGUGCAGGAGAGGAAGGUAGAAUUCCCGGUGUAGCGGUGAAAUGCGUAGAGAUCGGGAGGAAUACCAGUGGCGAAGGCGGCCUUCUGGACUGACACUGACACUGAGGUGCGAAAGCGUGGGUAGCAAACAGGAUUAGAUACCCUGGUAGUC
rnacentral:rRNA from 1 species